ACCGCCACACCGCCGGGAACUUGGAAAAUUGGAAGUUACAAUACACACUUUCAGAUGUCCUCUGGACUGUUGGGAUAGCCUUGUGGCUUAUAGCCACCUGGAUCUUCAAGGGUCAGUCUCUGCCUGUCAAUCCACAACCCUCACAUUUAAGGCCACAGAACGGGCUUUCUUGGCCAAUCAGACUCAACCUAACUGCUACAGGACAUGUUAUUUCCAGUGGUGCCUGGACUCUGGGGUGCGAGGAAGGAGUUACCAAGAUCUUAAGAAUCUAGUAUGUAAGCAUCAGGAAAGGAAAGCGUCAUUGGUUUGGCCUUGCAAGCAUCCACUGCCGUUGUCCAUGUUUCUGAUGUCAUUAACGCCACCCACGCUCUCCACGCGGUCCAGCAUCCCUUCCAUCUCGAGGACGUCUGAAUUCUGGGUGCUGAGCUUCCCGUCCGGAUGCUCUACAUGGUGGGAAUGGAGCGCACAGUGAAGCCGAGUAAGGAGCUGACAAGACGCCACGUAUGUGCUGCGGCGGUACGAGCCUUCAGGAAGCCUGGGAGAGUGCGCGCCCUGGCGUGCGUGCGUGCGUGCCUGCUGUUGGCUUCCUGAGACAGCCUAUCUGUGCUAACAGCGAUGGACUUACACACUAUUGAAACAGCAAACAGCCUUUUCUGGGACCAAGAGAGAAGGAGAUGUCAGCCACACAUUGAUGAGGGAGAAUGGAGAGCCAUUGGGCCUCUGGAUAAUAAAGUGUUCAUGCACAUUCACAUUGUAAAA